AGGGCUAUAGCUCAGUUAGGUAGAGCACCUCGUUUACGGUUCGAGUCCGUAUAGCCCUA
rnacentral:tRNA from 1 species